rnacentral:ncRNA from 1 species
UUCCUGUAGGAAAGGAGAGAUGCCCAGCAUUUCCCUAGGGAAGAGACAGAAGAGGCCUUUUGGCUGAUCAGUCUCCUGCAAAAGCAGCAAACUUGGUUUUUGUUAUUAUUAUUAUUUUU